rfam:Roseburia sp. CAG:45 genomic scaffold, scf103
UGAUGAAAGCUGCUAAGAACACUUGGAAUUUCCUUAAGCAACUGGCAACACUGGCACACGGAUGUGCCAGUGAGACGCAUUUGAGCAUGGAUGCGAAUAUGCGUCGUUUGCCAAAAGAAUCUAUAAUUUAUAUGGAAAUUCUUAGUGUUCCUUGCAGCCUUUUAUG